ACUGCGAGUAAUUGCAAGUGUGACUGCCGAGUCACACUUGCAAUUACUCGCAGUCAAUCUAACAAUGUAUGUAAAACUCUUGUAAGUGAAACAAAUGUUUGAUAUU